CACCCCGGGGUCCCUGUCCCAUCCCAGUGUCCCUGUUCCACCCUGGGGUCCCUGUCCCACCCCGGGGUCCCUGUCCCAUCCCAGUGUCCCUGUCCCACCCUGGGGUCCCUGUCCCACCCCGGGGUCCCUGUCCCAUCCCAGUGUCCCUGUUCCACCCUGGGGUCCCUGUCCCACCCCGGGGUCCCUGUCCCAUCCCAGUGUCCCUGUCCCACCCUGGGGUCCCUGUCCCACCCCGGGGUCCCUGUCCCAUCCCAGUGUCCCUGUUCCACCCUGGGGUCCCUGUCCCACCCCGGGGUCCCUGUCCCAUCCCAGUGUCCCUGUCCCACCCUGGGGUCCCUGUCCCACCCCGGGGUCCCUGUCCCAUCCCAGUGUCCCUGUUCCACCCUGGGGUCCCUGUCCCACCCCGGGGUCCCUGUCCCAUCCCAGUGUCCCUGUCCCACCCUGGGGUCCCUGUCCCACCCCGGGGUCCCUGUCCCAUCCCAGUGUCCCUGUCCCCCCCCGCCCCAUCCAGGACGUCACCUGGGCCACACCUUCAUGGCCAGCAGGGCCACGAUGGCCACGGCCACGAUGGCCACGAACAGCCCGGACAGGACCUGGAAGGUCCUCAGGUGGCUCAGAGCUGUGGACAGAGGGGGGGUCAGUGCCACCCCGGAGCUUGGGGUGCCCCAAAAGGGGUGAAGGGGACACUGGGGUGACAGUCAAAGUGGGGGACACCCCUUGGCACGCAGGGGUGGGGACAGGCAGCAUUUGGGGUGGGGACACACACGGGGGGUGGUCACAGUGGGGACAACUGCUGCUCCUGCCUGCCACUGUCCCCUGUCCUAAAGGCCACCCUGCAAGGGACAUCAUCCCCAAAACUGUGUGCCCCCAAAACUCCUCACCUGUGCAGGUGUGUGCCCCAAAACUCCUCACCUGUCCCAGGUGUGUGACCCCAAAACUCCUCACCUGUCCCAGCUGUGUGACCCCAAAACUCCUCACCUGUGCAGGUGUGUGCCCCAAAGCUCCUCACCUGUCCCAGGGCGUCCCCAACACACCCACAAAUGCCACCCCCAUAUUUUACCGUCCCUCCCUCAAUCCCAUCCCCACUUCCUUCUAUUGAGGAUUUUUUUUUUUUUUUAGGAUUUCCACGCCCCACUCACUGUGCACAUCCAAGUCAGCGCUGCCCGUGGCGUUGCCCAGGGCGUUGGUGGCCACGCACACGUAGCGUCCGCCAGCCCCUGUCCCCGCGGCCACCAGCUCCAGGCGCAGGGCGUUGCGCGAGGGGACGGCCCUGACCCCCGGGGUGACAGCGGGGGACAGGCUGGGGGCCAGCAGGUGGCCCUGGUGGUGCAGGGCCAGCCGGGAGGGCGGGUGGCUCUCGGCCGUGCACAGCACGAUGGCCCCGCGCCCGCUGCGGUUCUCCAGGAAGGUGCUGACCGAGACGGCCCGAGGAGGGUCUGGGAGGGGACACGGAGGGUGGCACCGGGACACAGCCACCGGCUGGCCACCAAAAAGUCAUUUAAGGGAUCUGUCCCGUCCUGCUCGUCCCGGUGCUGCGGGAUUCAAACCCUCCCCAGUCCUUGUCUCGCCGCCCCGGGGCUGGAGGAGCUUCCUGACUUGGAGCUUCUGGGCUCCAAAUCUGACCUUUGAGGGGUCAAUCCUAAAAAACCAGUCCCAAAUCCCUUUCCCAAAAGUUUCCUGACGCAUCCCUCCUCCAGCUUGGACCACGAUCAUCCCCCCUCCAGGCUUUUGCUCCCACCCCAGCUGGACAAUCCCUCAGUUCGGGGCUUUUUGGCUCCAAAUCCAACUUCUGAAGGAUUAAUCCUAAAAAAAAACCCCCAAAAUCCUUUUCCCCAGGUCACCAAGAGCUUCCCAACUCAUCCCUUUCCCAUCCUGGAUCAUCCCCAUCCCAUCCAUCUCUUCCCUGGUGGCUUCCCAUGUUCUCUCACUCCACACCCAACCAGAGAAUUCCUGUUUUGGAGCAUUUUGGCCCCAAAUCCACCUAAAAAACUCCCCCAAAAUCUCCUUCCCCAGGUCACCAAGAGCUUCUUAAUUCAUUCCUUUUUCAUUCUGGAUCAUCCCCACCCCAUCCUUUUCCAUUCUGGAUCAUCCCCACCCCAUCCACCCCCGCUCUGGUGGCUUCCCAUAUUCCCCAGCCUCUUCUUCCACAAGAAUUCCUCAGUUUUGGAGUAUUUUGGCCCCAAAUCCACCUAAAAAAAAAAAAAAACAACCCCAAAAUCCCUUUCCCCAGGUCACCGGAGAAUUCCUCAGUUUUGGAGCAUUUUAACCCCAAAUCUACCUAAAGAAAAAUGCCCCGAGAGAGGAGCAGGGCAGGAAGAGGAGGAAACCCCGCUGCCCUGGCGGAGGUGGCAGGCCCCCCCCCCCCCCCCCCCCCCCCCCCCCCCCCCCCCCCCCCCCCCCCCCCCCCCCCCCCCCCCCCCCCCCCCCCCCCCCCCCCCCCCCCCCCCCCCCCCCCCCCCCCCCCCCCCCC
rnacentral:lncRNA from 1 species